GGCGAAUCUAGGGUUCAUCCUGAUAAACUGAAAGCUGAAGAGAGAAAAAAACCCUUUGUGAGCGUAAAUGCUUGAAACUCCGGCUGAAGUUGGUACCCAGCACAAGGCAUCCUAGGCAAACAAGGAUCAAACACCUGAGACCAGUGAAGAGCACAGAGCAGUGAAUGGCCCAGAACACAUACACACCUAUACAGAUGUGUAUGCUGUAAGGCUUGCUGGGCUGGGGACAGAGAAGAGGGGAGGAAAAUUUGUCUGCCAGCAUGCAGGCAAUGGCAAUCUACAGAAUUAAAUUUUUAAGAAGCA